rnacentral:lncRNA from 1 species
UCAUAACCUUGGGUAUUGGCUUCAUUUUUGUUCAUACUUAUAACCCUUAUAUAUUCCUCUUUAGAGAACUUUUGUCUUUCCAAUAACACAUUUAUGUCUUCGGCCAUUUUGAGCAAUAAAAUACAUCACUACCAAGGAUCUUGACGUACUCUAGAGGCCAAAACUAUAACAAAUCCAAGAAAAUGACAAAACCACCUAAGAAAAGAGAAAAACCAAAAAAAAAUGGCAAGAUAACCAUAACACAACCAAAACUAAAAAAAAAAAAAACAAUGACUAUAAAUCAAUCACAAGAGACUAAAUGACAGGGCGAGAAAAUGCACCUAAAAACAACAAAAAGAUCUAAACAAAGAAAACCUACUGAGUUUGACUAAAAAUACAAAAGAUAACCUCUUUAAAAAUAACCCAUAAAGUACAAAAAGAAGGAUAAAAAAAUGAUCAAAAGACCAAAAAGGAAAACUACUAUCUAUAUUAAGGAGAAGAAAUAACACGAUAAAG